CUUUAAAUGCCGUUGGGCCUUUUGCUAUGACCCACUGAGCCGUCAAAAAAGGGCAAAGGAAAAACACUGCUUUUGGGUGAAGCGGCAGUGUGUUGUGUUGCUUUGCUUCAAUCAAGGUAAAAAAAAAA
ensembl:snoRNA